UGACUUUGAUGGAAUUGAUGUGGGUACAA
rnacentral:piRNA from 1 species